ensembl:lncRNA
CCAAGUGCAACCCAUGGACACUGAUUGGUUCAGAUCUUCUAUAAAUGACAUGACUGGGUCACAGGUGAUCACAGUCACCAAUCUUUUUUAAAGGUUGAUAACGAUGGGAAAUAUUUACACUAAACUAAUUUUUUUUUUUGAGACAUCAAAUAUGACUUAUAAAGAAAAUAAAUAUUAUGAAAAAGUGCUAAAAAUUCCAUACUUUUCUUCUAAUUUUAAAUCAAAGAAAAAUUUUGAUUAUAUUUUAGAAAAAUUAAAACCUACAUUCGAUGGUAUGCUAAUCAAAGAAGGGAAAAUUUAUUAUAAUAAUGUCAACAACAGAAAUGUAACUUAUACAUCACCUUGUUAUAUUUUAAUUUGGGAUUCUGAUCGUCGUAUUUUUAGCCGAGGUCUCGGGUUUUAUAUUGGAUCUGGAGUUAUAAUUACAGCCAAACAUGUUUUAAAGGCAUACAAAAAUAAAAACGUAUUUGUUCUUUUCCCAAAUAAAAUGUUUUAUUUAGCCUACAGUAUUAAUACUGAUAACAUCUAUUUUGACAAUGAUUAUGAUAUUGCUAGAGUUAAAUUGGAAAUCAGUUUUGAUAAACUACCAAAUAUAAAACCUGUAGAAAUAGACUUGAAUAGAAAUGAAAACAAAAAUCUUUAUUUUUACAAACUAAAAGCAGGGCGUUUUGUUAAAGUGAAAUGUAAAAAAACUAAAGAAUUAAAUCUUAAAGAAUUUACUCUUUCUAAAACGGGAAAUGAUGGAGAUAGCGGGACCCCUAUUUUUACAAGUUCUGGUAAAUGUGUUGCAAUGUAUAUUGGUGCAUUUACAAAAACAAACAGAAAAUGUAUACUUGGCAUAGGUUUACAAUUUGAUAGUUCUUUAAAGACAUCUCUUCAUUGAAUUUUCCUCUGUAGUUUAUAAUAUUCUAAUGCUUUAAAAAAAAAAAAAAAAAUCUCUUUUUCAUCACUGUUUCUCAACCCUGCUCCAAUUUCCCAAGCUCACUAAUGAGCUGGCUAAUUUUAUAGUGAGCGGGGAAGCAAAAAACAGGGUCACCAGGGGCAGGAUUGAGAAACACUGUAUCCCAUCAACAUAAAUUUGGAAGUGCAAAAAUGCUGUAACACAAUUGGCAUGGUUACAGUACCAUAAAGUGCUAAAUAUUUCCCAUUGUUUGGCUGUCUGGAGAGGAUCUUGUGCCUUGCCCAAAACAAAAUCUUGUGUCUUGUCGGUAUGGAGCUGGACUAUUGUUACAGAUGUUGCAGGAGCAGCUCUGAAAGUCAUCUGUUUCAAGAAGCACCUCCAGACUGCAUAUGUCACAUUUGGGUCAAGUUACAAUCAUGAUUCCUCUCCAUAAAAUGGUGGUGGCCCGGACUCACUUGAAGCACAACACCCUUACGCCAUUGCUCGGUGUCAUGUUGAACCACCUUUGGAUGACACGCGUCACUUUUGGGUCAAAAGAUAUUCCUCAUGAUAUUGAAGAUAUUUCUAUUCCUCAUGAUAUUGAAGAUAUUUCUAUUCCUCAUGAUAUUGAAGAUAUUUCUAUUCCUCAUGAUAUUGAAAAUAUUCAUCAUGAUACUGAAGAUAUUCCUCAUGAAGUUAUUCCUCAUGAAGUUACUUUCUAAAUAAACAAAAUGAGAUUCUAAAUAAAUGUACAAAAAAAUUUUUUUCACUUUUUUCCCCCCAAACCUUAAGAAUCCUUUACAUCAAAUCUUAGCCCUAAGCAUCUAUCUUUCCCAAAAUCCAUAAUUAGAGCUGUCUCCUGUCCUCCAAAAUGUUCUUUGGUGCCUUCAGCCAUUGUAUGUUUAUUUACAAUUGAAAUUUAAUGAUUCUCUGUCAGAAUAAUUUUCAAAACACUUUCAAUGAUGAUCCACCAGAUGGAGACAAAGAUUGAUUUGUAAAACAGAAAGUUUUUGUCUAGACGGGACUAGUUUUGUAAACUACGUUUGAGUUUCGAUUCUUACCACAUGACGUCUGCGAUUUUCAUGUACCAAUUCGGACGGGACUAACAUCUCCGUGUUUAUUACAGAGGUGGGAGGGUCUGUUUUGUGCAUCUGGGCGUCACAGAGAUCACGCGCUCAGUAUGCGUGCAUUGCAUAUAACGUUAGUCAUUCGGAUCGAUUACCAUUAGUAUUAUUACACAAUAAAUGCUAAAAACUAAAUGGCUAGUAUAGCAAAACCAUGUUAAUGUGUGGUUUCUUUAGUUUAACUUCAUUAAUUACAUCUGUAAUUAAAACAUAAUGUAACUGAGUGCAUAAAU